rnacentral:rRNA from 1 species
UACAGAGGAUGCAAGCGUUAUCCGGAAUUAUUGGGCGUAAAGGGUGCGUAGGCGGUUUGGUAAGUCUUAUGUGAAAUCUACAGGCUCAACUUGUAGUCUGCAUGAGAAACUGCCGGGCUUGAGUAUGGGAGAGGUGAGUGGAAUUCCUGGUGUAGCGGUGAAAUGCGUAGAUAUCAGGAGGAACACCUGUGGCGAAAGCGGCUCACUGGACCAUAACUGACGCUGAUGCACGAAAGCUAGGGGAGCAAACAGG